GGACUUACCUGGCAGGGAAGACACCAUGAUCUCUAAGGGCUUUUCCAAGGGCGAGGCUCAUCCAUUGCCCUGAGGAUCUGCCGAGCCCUGCGAUUGCCCCACAGGGGGAACACUGAGUGCAAAAUGUGUGUUGCUGGAGGGUUGCAUCCGCUUUCCCUGA
ensembl:snRNA U1 U1 spliceosomal RNA